UACAGAGGGGGCUAGCGUUGUUCGGAAUCACUGGGUGUAAAGGGUGCGUAGGCUGUCCGUUAAGUCUGAUGUGAAAGCCCCGGGCUCAACUCAGGAAUUGCAUUGGAAACUGGCGGACUCAGAGUACCGGAGAGGGAAGCGGAAUUCCUGGUGUAGCGGUGAAAUGCGUAGAUACCAGGAGGAACACCGGUGGCGAAGGCGGUUUCCUGGCCGAGUACUGACGCUGAGGCACGAAAGCGUGGGGAGCGAACGGG
rnacentral:rRNA from 1 species